UGCAGUGAUGAAGACGAAAACUGUGGAC
rnacentral:sRNA from 1 species